rnacentral:tRNA from 1 species
UCGGCCGAAAGCGCUGGCUGCGCGGUGCUCGUCGUGCCCAACGACGUGGCCGUCCCGGACGGUCCGCGCCGGGUGUUCCGCACGUCCCUGGCCGGA